UACAGAGGGGGCAAGCGUUGUUCGGAAUUACUGGGCGUAAAGGGCGCGUAGGCGGCCUGUUAAGUCGAACGUGAAAUCCCCGGGCUCAACCCGGGAACUGCGUCCGAUACUGGCAGGCUUGAAUUCGGGAGAGGGAUGUGGAAUUCCAGGUGUAGCGGUGAAAUGCGUAGAUAUCAGGAGGAACACCGGUGGCGAAGGCGGAUCUCUGGGCCAUUACUGACGCUGAGGAGCGAAAGCGUGGGGAGCGAACAGG
rnacentral:rRNA from 1 species